CGGCCGCACCGGGGCCGCACAGCGCUCGGUGCCGCCUCCGCCGCCACCGCCUCGGUCACCUCUACUGCCGCCGCCGCCGCCGCUCCGCCAGCUCUCACUUCGUCUCGCGAUACUAAGGGCGGGGAGCCUGAGGACACAGAGAGAAGGUGACCAUCUGCAAGCCAGGGAGAGCUGCGAGAGCACCGUCCAUGCUGGAACCUGGCCAUGCCAGAAGCCCGAUCUGGGACCUCCAGCCUUCACAACUAAAAUCAACUAAAGGAUUAAAAGCUUGCAUAUAAGACUUAAAACCAUAAAACUACAAGAAGAAAAUACAGGGGCCAGGCAAAGCAAUGAUGUCUAUCACAUGUUCCAGCUCCAGGAAGCUGUUUGGAACCUAGAAUGAAAAAUAUCAUGUGCAAUGAUUGAGGUUUAAUGUUGCAUUUGAAAAGUUCAAAGACAGAAUUUCUGAAGACGUCUCCUGAAGUUUCUCAUUCUCCCCAGGCACUAUAACCAGCAUGACUCAAGAAGGUCAGUGUAUGGACCAAGCCCACCACAGCUUUUUCCAGAACCAGGGACCAUGAUUUUCCCUUGUCAAUGAUGUGAUUUCAGACAUCAUCUACACUUUCCUAGGAUUAAUAUAAUGGUGGAAUAAAAUUUGCCAGUUCUUAGAUUCACAAAAUACUAUGACAAAUAUUUAUUCAACUUUAGUUUAAUUACUUUUUAAUGGAUAAUACAUUAAUAUGGUUCACAUUUUUACAAAGGCAUAAAUGAAUAUUCAAUGGAAAGUUUCCAUUCCAUGACUGUUCCAUAAUCAUCGAGCUCCUCUCCAAGGAGUCAGCCAGUGUAAUCAGUUUCUUGUGUAUCCUUCCACAUUGUUUUAUCAUGAACUAGUCAAUAUUUAAAAGUCCUUCCCAAGACCCCUCCCCACUUUUUUAAACCUAAGUGGUAGAAUAUUAUAUACUCAUUCUUAUUUUACUUUGUUAUGCAGUUUCUUUCUAAAUAAUAUAUCUUAGAAAUCAUUUCAUAUGAGUUUAUGAGGGGUUCCCCCCCUCUCUUUGUACCAUAGUAUUCCAGUGAAUUGACAUGCUAUUGCAUUUUAAAAUCAGAUCACAUCAUUCUUAGUGUGGAAUGUUGUUAGAAGAAUAUGAUUUACUAAAAGGUGUGCUGUUACCCAACUGAUAAUUAUAUACACAUGAAAGAUUGAGUCCUACUUCCCUAGAAUGGUGUGGGAUCACACAUAUAUUACUUUGGUCCACAUUCAUCUGGUAACUUUGGAAUGGCAAAUGAUACUGAUUAGUUCCCAUUUGUACUCUUUCCUGAAAGGUCAGUUAAUUAAAUUCUGUUGAAUAUCAAACUCAGAAGUAAGUAAAAGGUCAGAGAGAGGAGAUUUUCCCUGUGCAAGUCAGAAAAGGAGACUCAUGUAAGAACAAGAAGAAAGUUAGUAAUUCUUGUAGCUUGUCUAGAAGCAAAUGCCAAAAGUCUGAAACAAAGGAGGUAUGGCACUUUGUUCAGAGUGAUGAGAGAAUAAUGGAAAUAAGAGUGGAAAAAGUAGAAGGAAGGGAUGCCAGUCCCAGGUUUUUUUGUGGGGGUGUGAGUUCUGUCUUAGUAGUGUGUGACCUCUAAUCCUCAUGGUUGCUAUUUCGUGGCCAGAGUCAACAGACUCUUGGUAGGAGUGGUAAAAUGUUGUGGUAAAACAAACAUGUGUGGACGAGUUCUCUGGGAGAAAAAACAUUGUGAAUGUUUUAGAUUUCUUUUCCAUGUGACAUUGAACUUACUGAUUUAACUGUUACCAAAGGGACUUUUCCCUGCUAAUGGUUUGGACCACUCUGCUUGAAAUCUGUCCAGAACAAUAUGUUCUUACCACAAGGCAGUUCAAGAAGGUCAGUAUGAUGAUCAAAAUGAUAGUCACUGUUCAGUACUUCAUUUCUUUACCGAUUUGGUGUUAACCUAAAGGAAUGAUUAGGAUUUAGCUUCCCAAAUCUGCUGAGUAUAAAUGGCCUAGAUUUUAUUGUUCUGGACUACUUUUUAGCCUUUCCACCAGUAUUCCUGCAUUUAAUUGUCCUAUUCCACAAGAUUCUCCAGUGUACCAUCUAGGCAGGGUAGAAUGCCAAAAUUCAGCCUUAGGUACUUCAUAUAAAGCUCUGUGAGGACCAUAUUUGGCUACCUCAGAUGGAAUAGCAGGUGACCUCAAACCCGUGAUCUGGGAGCAUGAGCUUGGUCCACAUACCUCAUCUUCAUUCAUACAAAACAUGAUUAUAAAUUAGCAAGACACAAUGUUUUAGAUCAUAUUAAAAAAGAAAGCUCUCUGUCACCGUGCAAUCAUGUUAAUUUCUGCUCUGCGGAGGCAUCCUCAUAUUAGCCAGUGUGGAUCCCCUGUGAGGAAGUCUUCUUUCUAAGAAUUCCAAAUAGGAGGUAGUACAGACUGCUUUUGGCUUCUUCCUCAACCUGUCUGAGUUUCCAUCUACUUACUUCUGUGGGGAUAAUAGGUCUCAGAGGGACAUUAGCCAUGUCUUCAUCCUAUUCUUACACCUUGUGAAUUUCCCUUUUGCUCUUCUGGACAGGCUUUCCAUUUUAUUUCUAGGUAAAAUGGGAUGUCACUUAUUCACAUUCAGAGUUCUCUCUACCUAAAGCCUGUAAAAGAAAAAAAUAAGGUCAAUGUAGGUGAGACCAUUCAAGUCUUGCUUUUGUUAUGUGGAUGAACAAGAUGGAAGGGUAAACAUUUCUCUCUGAACAAAAAUCUCUCAAGAUGAUUAUCACUUGAAAAUCCUAUGAUUAUAGAUGAAUAUUAACACUCUUUGCAUUACUGCUAUAUUAGUUUUAAUCCUCUCCAAGGCAUUGAAUAGGGAGAUUAUAUACAAGGAAACCAAAAAUAAAAAUAUUUCCAAAAAUAUUCUCCUUUUUAAAUAUGCAUGUAUAUUCAUUUCUAUGUCUAUUCAUCUGCUACUGCCUGUUGCCUUAAAAACAUUGUCUUUAUUCCUUAACAUUUGUUUAGGAAAUAAUAUAUUCUCUCACUCUAAGGCUCUCCUCUGUCUGUCUCUAGGAUAUCCUUGUGGAUCACUACUGAUGCCCAGAUUCUUAUGGAUAUUACUUCUUUUACCUUAAUCUAGCUCAUGCCAUCUCUCAAUUCACUAUUUCCUAUUUCCUUCUUCCCUACCCCUUUUAUCCAGUAGACAUGUUGGAUCCCCAACCAUUUGACCCAUGCCUAUUUCUUAUCUCUUUUUUAUACUCCCUUCCCCUAAUUGAAACCUGGCUCUUCAGUUUACUGGCAACCAUUUACUGAACACCAAUUAUGUAUGAUUAUCUCCUUUUGGCAAUUUUUAUUUCACCAAUCUGUUGGCUUUUCACUGCCUUAAAAGAUCUUGACUUUUUCAUCUCAAGUUGGUUGAGUGAUUCAUAUUCUGAAAGGCUCUUAAUUCCAGACUGAACAGAUGCUUUUUCUCUUUGUGUACCAAGCACAGAGUCUAGGACAUUAUUAGUUUGAAUUUUAUUUUAUAGUUGUUAUAAAUGUUUGAGCAGAAAGAGAGUAAUGAUUACACAUAAUUUUCUAGGGAGAUACUUAUUAGAGUAGUGUGCAGGAUUGCUGGUGACUUGAUGUAUAUAUACCCAUUAACACAUUACCACAAUAAAACAGAAUGUGAGAGAGCAUGAAUACAGAUAUGGAGAGAAGAAAAACUAAAUAGUUACUGACUGACCCAAUAGAGGGUGAAGUUUUCAGCAAAUAAGAUGCAAAUAAAAAAGAGAACAAUUGUUUCAAGAGGAUGAUGGGGAACUAGAACAAUGUAACUUCAUGGAGUUCAAUAUAAAAAAGGUGAAUCAAAUGCCAUUGACUGAGUCCUUUCAUAUAUGUGAAGCAUGUAGGGAAUGCUUUCCUGAUGGGGUUGAAUACUUGACUUAGGUUGUAGCUUCAGAGCAAUGGUGGAGAUAGGAACCAUUUGGAGGGAACUGAAGAGGAACUAAGUAGCUGUCAUGUAGGUAUCAUUAUUAGCAAAUUGUGCAUGCAGGAACCAUGGUCAUGACACACUUUCCUUUUGGUAGCAUCUCACUACAAGAUGAGCUGAAAAUUCCUGUUAAGAAGUGAGCUCUAUAUGUUGAUGUGCUUUGCAGGGGUGGAGAGGCCUUAGGACUUCCCAUUUUAGUGUUGUGUUACCCUUAGGGAUGCCUGCCUCUUCUACUGUACAGGUAUCCUGUAUUCCCAGGACUACUUUGCCGAAGCUUGAGUGAGGCUUGCAGAGCUCCAGGCUUCCUGACACUCUCCUGAUUGGCUACGACUAUAAUUUUUUUUUCUUCACCUUGGGGGGAUUUUAAAAUUAUAAAUGUUCUAGAUUUUAAAACAAUCAAUUUCUCCUUAGUUGUCAUGAUAAAAUAAAAUAUUUCUGAAGUUCUUUUUGCUCUGAUGGAAUACCAGUCAACUUAAUGCAAGGGUUAGAAAGUCAACUGCAUACCAAGACCAGGCAGAUGCUGCACAAAUGUAUGGAUUAGACUAUGUGUAAAUCCAUUGGGAGUGGCAGUCCAGUAGUAAACUCCACCCAGUGGCAUGCAAUUAAAAUGCUUUCAAAACACUCUUUACUACAGGAUAAACAAUGUGAAUAUAUAUGCAUUUGAACAUCAUGUUUUAAUAAUGCUUAUGUUAAACAGGUGUAUACGGAAGGCCCUCUGACUUAGUUUCUGCUAUUGGCACAUUCUGCACUAGUCACACAGCUUGCCCUAUAUCAAAUGGGUGUAUAGUUUGGACCUCCAAUUUUAUAUCAUAUCUUUGCUCAUGACUGAGUUAAAAGUUUAAGAAAUGCAAAGGCAAUUAAGAGUAGUUCACUGAAUUGUCACUAUGUUUGGCCAGUGUUAUCCUAGGAUUUGGAGUAGGUCAAUUUUUACAUUGUUAAUACUUGAAUUUAUUCAUACUCCACCCACUUCUGUCUGAGUCUGAAGCAGUAGAAAAACCUAGACAUAAAAGCAAAUGUGUUUAAAAUCUCAAUAAAAGAAAAAACAAAUGAAUAUGUCAGAGUUUAACAUGGUUGUUUAUAUUUUCUAUAGUACUUUUAUUCCAAGAUGUAGUAAUUAUAGACCAAUAAUAUUAUGAAUAUUCUGAACAUCACUGUCAAUGUUUAUGGAAAAUUAA